rnacentral:tRNA from 1 species
GGGGAUGUAGCUCAGUGGUAGAGCGCAUGCUUUUCAUGUAUGUGGCCCCGGGUUCAAUCUCCAUAUUUCCU